rnacentral:rRNA from 1 species
GGCGGCGUGGAUUAGGCAUGCAAGUCGAACGGUAUGGACCUUUCGGGGUUCAGAGAGUGGCGAACGGGUGAGUAACACGUAGGUAAUCUACCCUCAAGACGGGGACGAACCCAGGGAAACUUGGGCGUAAUACCGGAUGUGUGUAGUGGCUAUUUUCUGAUUAUCAUUAUUUACGUAAGUGAGUAAUAAUAAGAAGGGAAAGUGGUUAUUACAUAAAAGGUGGCGUAAGCUGCCGCUUGGGGAUGAGCCUGCGUCCUAUUAGUUAGUUGGUGAGGUAACGGCUUACCAAGGCGAUGAUAGGUAGGCGGCCUUAACGGGUGGUCGCCCACACUGGGAUUGAGAUACGGCCCAGACUCCUACGGGAGGCAGCAGUCGAGAAUAGUCUACAAUGGACGGAAGUCUGAUAGUGCGACGCCGCGUGAACGAAGAAUCCCUUCGGGGUGUAAAGUUCUUUUAUACGUGAGCAGUGUCCUUUAUAUUAAUAGUAUAAGGGGAGAGAUAUUAGCGUAUGAAUAAGCAACGGCUAACUCCGUG